GAUUAACGCUGGCGGCGUGCAUAACACAUGCAAGUCGAACGAUGAAACUUUAAUGAACCCUUCGGGGAGAAUUAAAGCGGAUUAGUGGCGAACGGGUGAGUAACGCGUGAGUAACCUGCCUUACACAAGGGGAUAGCCUUUGGAAACGAAGAAUAAUACCCUAUAUAACCAUAAAAGCACAUGCAAUUAUGGUCAAAGUGAUAGCGGUGUAAGAUGGACUUGCGUCUGAUUAGCUAGUUGGUGAGAUAAAAGCCCACCAAGGCAACGAUCAGUAGCCGGCUUGAGAGAGUGUACGGCCACAUUGGGACUGGGACACGGCCCAGACUCCUACGGGAGGCAGCAGUGGGGAAUUUUGCACAAUGGGGGAAACCCUGAUGCAGCGACGCCGCGUGAUUUAGAAGGCCUUCGGGUUGUAAAAAUCUUUUGUAUAGGAAGAAAAUGACAGUACUAUACGAAUAAGGUCCGGCUAAUUACGUG
rnacentral:rRNA from 1 species